CUGGGGCCUCAUGUACAAAGCUUGCGUACGCACAAAAAUGCUGCGUACGCCACUUCUCACGCUCACGUCCGGAUGUACGAAGACUGACUUGAACGUGAGAAUGUGCGGCCCUCCACGCAAACUUCAUGUCUGGCGUACGCACAUUUCCAAUGUGUAUCGUCAGUUGGCGACACUUAGAGGCAAUGCAGCGCAACAACAUUAGUUGAUCGCGAGUCUAGGCCUUUAUUUGCACAGUAUAUUGUGAAAUGUGGGUUAUUAAAAAUUAUAACACUUUGAAAGUAGGCCUAUUAUCAGCCGUGGCCUACUGGUUAGCGCUUCGGAC